GCGCCCGUAGCUCAGUUGGCAGAGCGGUGGGAUGGUAGGUACCCCACGGUCCCGGGUUCAAGUUCCGGCGGUCGCU